rnacentral:misc_RNA from 1 species
GUAGGUGAACCUGCGGAAGGAUCAUUACAAAUCCACGCGUCUCUCUCAUGAGACACCACGUUGAACUGUUUCUAGCGAUCAUCCAUCCAUCCAUCCAUCCAUCCAUCGUCUCUCACACAUCCCCAUGGCAGCAACAUCGGUGUUGAUGUUGCUGAUGUUGCUGAUGUUGUUGAUAUGUUGUUGUUGAUGAUGAUGAUGAGAUGAUGAUGGAGAUCGCUAGUGUUACCAACACUAGUUAUCAUUUGUUGAA